AUCGAACGCUGGCGGCAGGCUUAACACAUGCAAGUCGAGCGAGCGGCGGACGGGUGAGUAAUGUCUGGGAAACUGCCUGAUGGAGGGGGAUAACUACUGGAAACGGUAGCUAAUAACGCAUACCAUCAGAUGUGCCCAGAUGGGAUGAGCUAGUAGGUGGGGUAAUGGCUCACCUAGGCGACGAUCCCUAGCUGGUCUGAGAGGUUGACCGGCCACACUGGAACGGAGAAAUGGUCCAGACUCCUACGGAGGGCAGCAGUGGGGAAUAUUGCACAAUGGGCGCAAGCCGGAUGCAGCCAUGCCGCGUGUGUGAAGAAGGCCUUCGGGUUGUAAAGCACUUUCAGCGAGGAGGCGUUACUCGCAGAAGAAGCACCGGCUAACUCCGUGCCAGCCGCCGCGGUAAUUC
rnacentral:rRNA from 1 species